GGCCGGCAGCGCUAUCGCGCUCUCCUCCGCGCGGCGCUGGAGGCCACGGAUCCUUCCCUGUGAGCGCGCUGUCCUGCAGGUCCCUCUGUCAGAGCCGAGCUUUGUAUUCCGGAGAGACAACACUGACACCCCCACACCCACAGAGCCGGGAGUGGGGAGGUUUGGGGCGGCCGCUCGGUGCUGCGCGGCGGGGCCGGUGUCGCAACGAGAGACCCGGGUUGCGAGGCAAAGCCUCGCACAGAGAUUGAGUGGUUAUUGGGAAAUCCAUCGUAUUUCAUCCCGUUUCAUCAGCAUCCCCCGCCAGCCUCGGCUGUGCAUGCGCUCACGCAAGGAUGACAUAACCAGGGUGAGAAAACUCUGAAAACACUACAGCUGCUGAGAAUGGAAGCUAUUCUGAAGUGUUAGGAAAAGAAAGUCACAAAAGAUGGAGUCCACUCGGUUUCCUUGGGAUUCAGACAGACUGAAGAAAGACUGAAGACUGUAUCCCCUCAUAAAAGCAGGUGGGGCAAUAUGCAGCAUUUACACCAAAACUACAUUUUUUAAACCAUGUAGAAAACAGUGGAAAGAAGCCUGGUUUCCUACAGGAAGAACACAGCAAGGAAAGAGGGUUUGUGACUGUGUGUCCUUGCCUGAGGAACCCGAGGGAUAUGGGAUUUGGCACACUGUCAUGGCCUGACAGGCAGUGACACAGAUGGAUCCCCUUGGCUGGGUGGCAGUGGCCUUGUCCUUGCUCCCAGUGAGAGCCUUGUGGUGCAAGGAUAGAACAUUCCUGUCACUCCAGCAAGUGUUCCACUGUGUCCUCCAUUUAAUUAGGCCUAGGAACACUAUUUUCCCCCCACAUCCAUCAAUUACUUAUUCCCACAAAGUGUGACUUCUGUUUUAAAUCACCUACGUAAACUGUACUAGAUACAGCCAUGCUCAGUUUAAUAAAUAGGCAUUUUAUAUUUUAUUUCUAUAAUGAA